GCCUGUGUUCGUGCAGCAAGAGCUCAAGGGCUACCCUGCCAGGGCCACCCUCUCCUCCUCCCCCCCCAUCCCGCCUCCUCCUUCCCUGCUGUCUGCACACCGACUUCUCCAGGAAAAUCUCCACGGUGUUUCCUGGCUCAGGCGGUACCAGUCCGUGGCCUGGAGGUUGGGGACCCCUGCUAUAAACGGAUCUGAGAGUCUGUGAAACCACCAGUCCCCAACCCUAGGCGUCCCCAGUUUGCACAAGUGGGCGUGCAGAUCCUUCGUUGAUUGAGACAGCUGGGUUUCCCUGGCAGCUCAGCGGU
ensembl:lncRNA